rnacentral:lncRNA from 1 species
UAAUUUCAACGCCGGUGGCGGACUAAAAGCGUACCCAUUUACAUAUUCAGAGAGAGCUAAAAUUACCUGGUGGCAACUUGAAAGACGAUAAGAAAAUGAAAGAAAUUUAUCAAGAAAAGCAUUCUGGGAUGCGAAAGCAUGUAGCAUUUAAAAAAAUUAUCAAUGGAGUUAUGAACUUCACGAAUAAUAUUUGAAGUUGCUGUUGUGAGUAACAUGAAGUUGGGUUUUGAAAUUGACUGGUUUCUGAGAAAUGGGGCGCUGUGGAUGAAACUGAAAGGGGAAGAAAGAGGCAGUAUCAGAAAAUGUGAAGGUGAAUUUUUGGCAGUGCAUUUUAGGUCCUCGUCUGAUGGGUGCUUGAAAGAAGAAGGGGAAGAAGAUUUCAUUCAAUGGUUUUUGGGCUUGGGUAUGUGUGGGGCGUCGGGGUC